rnacentral:rRNA from 1 species
CUGGGACUGAGACACGGCCCAGAUUCCUACGGGAGGCAGCAGUGGGGAAUAUUGCACAAUGGGCGCAAGCCUGAUGCAGCGACGCCGCGUGAGGGAUGACGGCCUUCGGGUUGUAAACCUCUUUCAGUAGGGAAGAAGCGAAAGUGACGGUACCUGCAGAAGAAGCACCGGCUAACUACGUGCCAGCAGCCGCGGUAAUACGUAGGGUGCGAGCGUUAUCCGGAAUUAUUGGGCGUAAAGAGCUCGUAGGCGGUUUGUCGCGUCUGUCGUGAAAGUCCGGGGCUUAACCCCGGAUCUGCGGUGGGUACGGGCAGACUAGAGUGCAGUAGGGGAGACUGGAAUUCCUGGUGUAGCGGUGGAAUGCGCAGAUAUCAGGAGGAACACCGAUGGCGAAGGCAGGUCUCUGGGCUGUAACUGACGCUGAGGAGCGAAAGCAUGGGGAGCGAACAGGAUUAGAUACCCUGGUAGUCCAUGCCGUAAACGUUGGGCACUAGGUGUGGGGACCAUUCCACGGUUUCCGCGCCGCAGCUAACGCAUUAAGUGCCCCGCCUGGGGAGUACGGCCGCAAGGCUAAAACUCAAAGGAAUUGACGGGGGCCCGCACAAGCGGCGGAGCAUGCGGAUUAAUUCGAUGCAACGCGAAGAACCUUACCAAGGCUUGACAUGUUCUCGAUCGCCGUAGAGAUACGGUUUCCCCUUUGGGGCGGGUUCACAGGUGGUGCAUGGUUGUCGUCAGCUCGUGUCGUGAGAUGUUGGGUUAAGUCCCGCAACGAGCGCAACCCUCGUUCCAUGUUGCCAGCACGUAAUGGUGGGGACUCAUGGGAGACUGCCGGGGUCAACUCGGAGGAAGGUGAGGACGACGUCAAAUCAUCAUGCCCCUUAUGUCUUGGGCUUCACGCAUGCUACAAUGGCCGGUACAAUGGGUUGCGAUACUGUGAGGUGGAGCUAAUCCCAAAAAGCCGGUCUCAGUUCGGAUUGGGGUCUGCAACUCGACCCCAUGAAGUCGGAGUCGCUAGUAAUCGCAGAUCAGCAACGCUGCGGUGAAUACGUUCCCGGGCCUUGUACACACCGCCCGUCAAGUCACGAAAGUCGGUAACACCCGAAGCCGGUGGCCUAACCCUUGUGGGGGAGCCGUCGAAG